GAGUAAUGUCUGGGAAACUGCCUGAUGGAGGGGGAUAACUACUGGAAACGGUGGCUAAUACCGCAUAACGUCGCAAGACCAAAGAGGGGGACCUUCGGGCCUCUUGCCAUCAGAUGUGCCCAGAUGGGAUUAGCUUGUUGGUGAGGUAACGGCUCACCAAGGCGACGAUCCCUAGCUGGUCUGAGAGGAUGACCAGCCACACUGGAACUGAGACACGGUCCAGACUCCUACGGGAGGCAGCAGUGGGGAAUAUUGCACAAUGGGCGCAAGCCUGAUGCAGCCAUGCCGCGUGUAUGAAGAAGGCCUUCGGGUUGUAAAGUACUUUCAGCGGGGAGGAAGGUGUUGUGGUUAAUAACCGCAGCAAUUGACGUUACCCGCAGAAGAAGCACCGGCUAACUCCGUGCCAGCAGCCGCGGUAAUACGGAGGGUGCAAGCGUUAAUCGGAAUUACUGGGCGUAAAGCGCACGCAGGCGGUCUGUCAAGUCGGAUGUGAAAUCCCCGGGCUCAACCUGGGAACUGCAUUCGAAACUGGCAGGCUUGAGUCUUGUAGAGGGGGGUAGAAUUCCAGGUGUAGCGGUGAAAUGCGUAGAGAUCUGGAGGAAUACCGGUGGCGAAGGCGGCCCCCUGGACAAAGACUGACGCUCAGGUGCGAAAGCGUGGGGAGCAAACAGGAUUAGAUACCCUGGUAGUCCACGCCGUAAACGAUGUCUACUUGGAGGUUGUGCCCUUGAGGCGUGGCUUCCGGAGCUAACGCGUUAAGUAGACCGCCUGGGGAGUACGGCCGCAAGGUUAAAACUCAAAUGAAUUGACGGGGGCCCGCACAAGCGGUGGAGCAUGUGGUUUAAUUCGAUGCAACGCGAAGAACCUUACCUGGUCUUGACAUCCACAGAAGAAUCCAGAGAUGGAUUUGUGCCUUCGGGAACUGUGAGACAGGUGCUGCAUGGCUGUCGUCAGCUCGUGUUGUGAAAUGUUGGGUUAAGUCCCGCAACGAGCGCAACCCUUAUCCUUUGUUGCCAGCGAUUAGG
rnacentral:rRNA from 4 species